GGGGCUUUGAACCCACUGCAGGAGUCCAGCCGGGCUGGGGGAGCGGGGUGAUGGCGCUCCCUCUGCAAUGCAAGCGCCAGACUUGGGGUUUCUCCCACCAGCCCCAGCCUCAAAACACACCUCCCUGGAAUGGAGAGCAAGCAAGGCAUCUGUACUUGGGCAGAGAGACAGAGGCCCAAGUAUGUCUUGGGAAGAGGAGACAAGACAUACAACCAGAAAGGGGCUUGGUGACAUCAGGGCACAGCAGCAUCACAGGAAUGUGGAAAGAGGACCAGCAAAGAGACAGAGAAGACAUCCCCACUGGGGGACAGCCAAGCCAGCUGAGCAGGAUGAGGCAAGAGGCAUAGCCAGAGCACGGCAUGCGGGACCUUAGUUCCCCAACCAGGGAUCACACCCGUGCCCCC